AGAUUUAUCCAGUAUCCUUUACCAUUUUUUUAACUUCUGUCCAAACAUUUAUAGUAUGUUUUAUCCAUUCAUUUCCAGUCUUCAUUUUGUUGACAUGUUUUAGGUCCACUGAGGGCUGGACC